CAGCGCCGCGGGAAUACGAAGGGGGCUAGCGUUGCUCGGAAUGACUGGGCGUAAAGGGCGCGUAGGCGGCGAUCAAAGUCAGGCGUGAAAUUCCUGGGCUCAACCUGGGGGCUGCGCUUGAUACUUGGUUGCUUGAGUGGGGAAGAGGGUCGUGGAAUUCCCAGUGUAGAGGUGAAAUUCGUAGAUAUUGGGAAGAACACCGGUGGCGAAGGCGGCGACCUGGUCCUUGACUGACGCUGAGGCGCGAGAGCGUGGGGAGCAAACAGGAUUAGAGACCCCCGUAGUCCCUGUCUCUUAUACA
rnacentral:rRNA from 1 species